AGAUUGAACGCUGGCGGCAGGCCUAACACAUGCAAGUCGAGCGGUAGAGAGGUGCUUGCAUCUCUUGAGAGCGGCGGACGGGUGAGUAAUGCCUAGGAAUCUGCCUAGUGGUGGGGGAUAACGUUCGGAAACGGACGCUAAUACCGCAUACGUCCUACGGGAGAAAGCGGGGGACCUUCGGGCCUCGCGCCAUUAGAUGAGCCUAGGUCGGAUUAGCCAGUUGGUGAGGUAAUGGCUCACCAAGGCGACGAUCCGUAACUGGUCUGAGAGGAUGAUCAGUCACACUGGAACUGAGACACGGUCCAGACUCCGUACGGGA
rnacentral:rRNA from 1 species